AACCUAUGGUGAGGGCACCUUCUCAAUAAAUCCUUAUACCUCUCCCAUGCAUCAUGUAAUGUUUCUAAAUCGACCUUCACAAAGGAAGAGAUGUCAUUCCUGAACUU
rfam:Gossypium hirsutum cultivar TM-1 chromosome 10, whole genome shotgun sequence